UGAAGUGUGGACGCCAGUCUGCAUGGAGCCGACCUUGAAAUACCACCCUUUAAUGUUUGAUGUUCUAACGUUGACCCGUAAUCCGGGUUGCGGACAGUGUCUGGUGGGUAGUUUGACUGGGGCGGUCUCCUCCUAAAGAGUAACGGAGGAGCACGAAGGUUGGCUAAUCCUGGUCGGACAUCAGGAGGUUAGUGCAAUGGCAUAAGCCAGCUUGACUGCGAGCGUGACGGCGCGAGCAGGUGCGAAAGCAGGUCAUAGUGAUCCGGUGGUUCUGAAUGGAAGGGCCAUCGCUCAACGGAUAAAAGGUACUCCGGGGAUAACAGGCUGAUACCGCCCAAGAGUUCAUAUCGACGGCGGUGUUUGGCACCUCGAUGUCGGCUCAUCACAUCCUGGGGCUGAAGUAGGUCCCAAGGGUAUGGCUGUUCGCCAUUUAAAGUGGUACGCGAGCUGGGUUUAGAACGUCGUGAGACAGUUCGGUCCCUAUCUGCCGUGGGCGCUGGAGAACUGAGGGGGGCUGCUCCUAGUACGAGAGGACCGGAGUGGACGCAUCACUGGUGUUCGGGUUGUCAUGCCAAUGGCACUGCCCGGUAGCUAAAUGCGGAAGAGAUAAGUGCUGAAAGCAUCUAAGCACGAAACUU
rnacentral:rRNA from 1 species